CUGCUGCCUUCCGUAGGAGUUUGGACCGUGUCUCAGUUCCAAUGUGGGGGACCUUCCUCUCAGAACCCCUACGCAUCGUCGGCUUGGUGGGCCGUUGCCCCACCAACUACCUAAUGCGCCGCAUGCCCAUCCGUGACCGGGGUCGCCCCCUUUGACCGGCAGGGGAUGUCCCCUCCCGGCAUUAUGUUGUAUUAGGCGGGAUUUCUCCCGGUUAUCCAUCUGUCACGGCCAGGUUGCAUACGUGUUACUCACCCGUGCGCCGGUCGCCGGCGGGAG
rnacentral:rRNA from 1 species